rnacentral:rRNA from 1 species
CCUACGGGAGGCAGCAGUGAGGAAUAUUGGACAAUGGGCGCAAGCCUGAUCCAGCCAUGCCGCGUGCAGGAUGAAGCAUCUAUGGUGUGUAAACUGCUUUUAUACAGGAAGAAACCUCCCGACGUGUCGGGAAUUGACGGUACUGUAAGAAUAAGGAUCGGCUAACUCCGUGCCAGCAGCCGCGGUAAUACGGAGGAUCCAAGCGUUAUCCGGAAUCAUUGGGUUUAAAGGGUCCGUAGGCGGGCCAGUAAGUCAGUGGUGAAAUCUCUCCGCUCAACGGGGAAAUGGCCAUUGAUACUGCUGGUCUUGAAUUAUUAGGAAGUAACUAGAAUAUGUAGUGUAGCGGUGAAAUGCUUAGAGAUUACAUGGAAUACCAAUUGCGAAGGCAGGUUACUACUAAUGGAUUGACGCUGAUGGACGAAAGCGUGGGUAGCGAACAGGAUUAGAUACCCUGGUAGUCCACGCCGUAAACGAUGGAUACUAGCUGUUGGGGGCAACUUCAGUGGCUAAGCGAAAGUGAUAAGUAUCCCACCUGGGGAGUACGUUCGCAAGAUGAAACUCAAAGGAAUUGACGG